rnacentral:rRNA from 1 species
AUUGAACGCUGGCGGCAGGCCUAACACAUGCAAGUCGAGCGGAUGAAGGGAGCUUGCUCCUGGAUUCAGCGGCGGACGGGUGAGUAAUGCCUAGGAAUCUGCCUGGUAGUGGGGGAUAACGUCCGGAAACGGGCGCUAAUACCGCAUACGUCCUGCGGGAGAAAGUGGGGGAUCUUCGGACCUCACGCUAUCAGAUGAGCCUAGGUCGGAUUAGCUAGUUGGUGGGGUAAAGGCCUACCAAGGCGACGAUCCGUAACUGGUCUGAGAGGAUGAUCAGUCACACUGGAACUGAGACACGGUCCAGACUCCUACGGGAGGCGGCAGUGGGGAAUAUUGGACAAUGGGCGAAAGCCUGAUCCAGCCAUGCCGCGUGUGUGAAGAAGGUCUUCGGAUUGUAAAGCACUUUAAGUUGGGAGGAAGGGCAGUAAGUUAAUACCUUGCUGUUUUGACGUUACCAACAGAAUAAGCACCGGCUAACUUCGUG